UUGGAUGACCCAGAUGGAUGCAUCUUCAAGUGAACAGAUGCGGAAUGAAUCCACUGGAGGUCAGCCUUUUGACUGGGAAAGCGUUCUCAAUGUCCCAGAUGAGCUUUCCAGCCUUGAAACUUUUCUGGAUGGAAUAGCUGAAAAUUUUAAUGGGGAUGUUAGUGCUUGUGAACAUUUUAACAACCUCUGAUGCCGUUUGCUGGAUUAUCUGAGUCUGAAGUCUCACUCUGGUGGCGUCAUCCCAAAUCCAAGAAAAAUGCUUCUCUGUUGGAUGCGUCUUUGUUCUCUUUGAUUCUACCUGCUUUCCUAAAAGUGUAGUUUUUUUGUUUUCAACUCAGGAUUUCAGUCCUUGUUUGCUUUAAAUUCCGUCUGUCUGUUUGUUUAAAUAAGUGUAA